CUUUCAGAACCGAGCGCCUCGUCGAAUUUCCACGAUAAUUCCUGAACCUCUGACACCCCCACCCCCCCACCCCAAAGAAAAAAAACUCUCCCUUUCUGCCUCGGCUUAAAUUUAACACCCAAAACUUAAAUGCGGGGGGAAAUGGACGCAUUUUAAGCGGAACAACAUGACCCCCCGCAUCCAUCCCGAUUACGGCAACUUGCCUCCUUUGAAUCUGAAGGCUCUGGGAGUCCCCAAGACGCGCGAAAGAGCGCGAAACACUGUCCACGCAUACAUUGUAGUCCCCACUGCACCUGGACGUGCCACUUAUGACACGGUGUCGGAAAAGCCAGGCACCCACGGCGAGGUGCGCUCUACACGUCUCAAGUGAGCGCUGGAUGGGCGAGGGUGGCUUGUUUUAUCAGCUGGAUCCCGAGUGUCUCACCCACGGAGCGCUCUUCUCCUUCCCGCUUCCAAACCGGCAGCGCAAAAUAUUUAUCGUGAGACAGAGAAGCGCGAGGAGCUACAGUGCGUGACCCCCCUGUCUUCGCCCUGACGCAGGAGGAUUAGUCUGUCCCUCUUUCUGCUCCUCUCUCUCGUGGUCCCUGAAAAAAAAAAGAAAAAAGAAAAGAAAAAAAAAAACACGUCUUGAUUUAAGACAGAAAUGUGUCGUUGCACGAGAAAACUGAGGGACAAGUGAAACACUUGACAAGGAAAGAAGAGGAAGCGGUCGGUCGAGCUGGGGCAUACCCCUCAUCACAGAAAGAAGGAGGCCCUUUACACCCCCCAGCAACACCACCUCUCUCCCAUAUCUCAGAUUUGAUUUUCUGCACCAAAAACUGACCAAGAAGUCCAGCAAACUCACGUUUACAAUAAAACAAUUCAUCAGCGAACACAGCUCCCAGUCCCAUAAAGAUGGCACCUGGCCUUCAGACCACUGCUUCUGCAGACUACGGUUCCACAAGGACCCACAAGCGUUUGAAAUGCUGAGAUUUCUACAUUAUUUGCAUUCAAACAGGCGACAGGGUGUAAGUCCAUUCACUGUAUGGCUGUGUUCCAGCAACCACAUCAUAAAUACACCUCUUAUAGAGUAUUUCUAUUUCAUACCACCACGUUUCACAAGCAAAAAGGUAAUAGCGAUUUUAUAUGAGUAUAAAUAGAUUCCAACAUGUUGUACUUUAAAUGAAUACUUUCGGGCUUCGUUCUCCGUCAUCCGUCCGUGCUGCCGUGUGUCUCUCAGCAGACCACGCCCCAGAACACACUCCACUUCGUGACCAAUGGAACCAUAAGGGGGGAAAUUCAGUGUUUUUUUGCUGUUGUCUCCAGCAGUUUUCUGCACAGAGUCACGGCGGCUUUCGCGUGACUCCUUUAUUUAAAAAUAUUUUCAGCCGCGUAUAUUGCAUAUCGGCGUGCCC
rnacentral:lncRNA from 1 species